rnacentral:rRNA from 1 species
GACGUAGGGGGCAAGCGUUGUCCGGAGUUACUGGGCGUAAAGCGCACGCAGGCGGUCGGCCAAGUUCGCUGCGACAGUUGCCAGCUUAACUGGCAAAGCGUUGUGAAAACUGGUCGACUUGAGGGCUUCAGAGGGACACGGAAUUCCGAGUGGAGUGGUGAAAUGCGUAGAGAUUCGGAAGAACACCAAUGGCGUAGGCAGUGUCCUGGGAAGUCGCUGACGCUCAGGUGCGAAAGCUAGGGGAG